UGUGAGCUCAGGGAAGUGGGCAUGUAAGCGUGAUAGCUAAUAAACUUUUGUCGUUGUUAAAGUCUUAUUCUUCCAACACAACACCCACAUCCACUCACCUUUAGCUUCCCCUUGUGUCGUGAUCCUAUUGUUUAGCCUACAUGCUCUAGGAUCAGACAACACUGGAUGCCUGAUUAACAUGGACUUGGGUUUGAAAGCAUGCAGGGCACCUUACCCCAGGCCAAGGCACAGCGAGCCAUCUGCAGCAUGACAAAAUCCUAAUGUCAGGGUUUCUUCAUAAACUGGUGAAGGAGGAGUGGAGAAGAUAACACGCCAAGAUAUGUGUAUGAAACCACUGCUGACACAGCCAUUGUAGAAGAUGUACCCUGGCAUCUGAUCAGGAGCCUUGACACCAGCAACUCUCACAGUGGCAAAGCAUUUGUCCCAUUCCAAGACCCCUCAAUACAGUCCACCUCAGUCUGCUCCCAGACAUUCCAUUCCCUCUCACAUCCUUCACAUUAUGUGACUGCUGAUUUGUUUCACAGACAAUUGGUCCCUUGGCUCAGAUUCAUCGUAGUACCCCCUUGCAAACAGAAGUGCUGUCAACUCAUCCCCGAUCCCCACUCUGUCCCGUCCGUUCUCAUCAUGGCCCAGGAGUCAGGACCACUUCAGUGUCCGAUCAGAUCCACUCCUCCUGACACCUCUCUUCCACAGGCCAAUCAAGGGAGCUAAAUCCCUAUGACAAUAUCAAUAGCUGAACCUGAGCCUAUUGGCUCUCCUUGUUUUACACUUGAAAAUGUGGCGAUGUCUCAACACUAUAGCUUCAAUUUGCUCCAACAAAGGGAAGGGAAACCAUAAGUGUUUUAACGAACCUACCAUCUCUGGACAAUAAACAACAUAUGUAGAUUGAUAAAUAAACUUUAUUAGAUUGAACUCUUGUGAUCGCUUGGCGCAACCAUCUCAUUUGCUCCUGUGGUUGUUAUCAUUGAUUGGGUGUGAUCAGGGUCUAAUAAACCACCUAAUAUGUUCCUGUGGUGGAGUUUUGAUUGGUUAAUGUAAUAUUCCUUAUGUUUAAUAUGAAUAAUAAAGCAAUGUCCAGACACAGA